rnacentral:tRNA from 3 species
UCCUCAAUAGCUCAGUUGGUAGAGCACAUGACUGUUAAUCAUGUUGUCCCUGGUUCGAGCCCAGGUUGAGGAGCCA